CUGUGGACCAAGUGCGUCAGUACUGAGAGUGGUAGUGAGGGUCCCAGGCUGGUGCAGCAUGAAGAGUACCACAAGAAAUGCCCACCUGUGAGACCGCUGAGGCCGGGCAGCGCCUAUCCACCUCCCCACCCACUUUUUCUCAGAUCACAGGCCUGGGAUCUUGGUACAGUCCAAAUGGUGGGGAAAGAGCAUGGAGAAUAACAAAUACAGAACACUUCUUGUUGACUUCUUCAGUGCUUGUCACGGAUUGGAUUCCCUGGGAAGCAGAUGCUGUGUUGGAGAUGUGCACAUCACAAUGUUAUUGCAGGAGCAUGUUCUUGGGAAUACAAAUGUGGGGGAGUGAAGAGAAGAAAGCAGGAUGAAGCAGAAGGAAAAGAGGAGCUGCAAUCCAGUGCCCAAAGAGCUGUAGAACUGAGAUCACUCUGAAGAACUGUCCCAAACUGGAAGAAGAGGGGCAAGUAAUUAUAAUACCCUAUUGAUAAUCAUUGGAUGAGAGCUUCCCUGGGGAAGGAGGCAUUACUUUGUUCAUGGUGGGUCCCUUAAGCUAACGCAGUUUCAUCACAACGAUGCUCUCAAUCUGGAGUACACACAUCAAGAGAUGGGCAGACCCUUCAGGAGAGGUUUAAUGCAUCCAGUACACAUCGUGGUCGCUCCGCACAUGCUGGUACCCCCUGCUCCAUUAGCAGAAAUUGCUAAUUCUGAAGGUCUCCCCAUUUAAUGUAAUCCACCUCUCCCUCAUUUAAUCACAAAUACAUUCACGCCCUUCCCAGCAGGAGACAACUGAAUAUCACGUUGUGGGCUGUUCUUCAGAUACUUGUCAGGAAAUGUAAGUUCUCUGAAACACCCCCCAAAGGGAAAAGAAUAUGAAAAAGCAUUUGCCUCACAGGAAACCUGCCAACCUUUCUGUUUUACUUGGUGCUUUAGUAGGACAACCACUGGAAAGGGCAGUUUGUUGUCAAAUGAGCAUGUCAAAUGAACUCCAACCACUGCAAGGCAAAAUGAAACCCACGCUACCUAAAAGGUGUAGAUAUCAGUCCAUGUAAUUGAAAUCUGUCGACUUGGGGGUAAGUUAAAGAAACACCGUGUUGUUGUAGAAGGCCAUUGACAUCUUCUCCUGGUAAAACCCCCAGAGGGUGCUGUCUUAAGGUGUUGGACAGAAACUGCCCCAUGGCAUCUACACACUGGAUGUUGAUUUGAGUUAAACUGAGCAUUUGACAGAAGGAUUCUGACCCAUUCCCUGGAGUGAUUUGGGAAGGUAUUUAUAAAAAGGAAUGAUGUGCUCCAGUGAUUUACAAUAAUGGCAUAUAUUGUUUUGUCUUUGGUUUGUUUCUUGAUUGUAAAUAUUGGUCAGUGUCCAAAAUUAAGAUGCAAUCACUGGUUACCCCAACCUGGGAUGUUUAUUUGGAAAAACACAAAGUGGUUUAAAAUUCAUACAAAUCACUCUAAACCUGGGUACACUCUUUUUCUUUAAAUCUUAGAUUCUGCUGUCAGAUCAAGAGAAAAAGGGAAAGCUUUCAUAUUGCUCAAAAUGAUUUUUUAAAAUUUCCUUCAUUUCUUACUUCCUUCUCAACUCUUUUCCACUCUAAAACAUUCUCAACUCCCUAACUCAUUAAGAUAUUUUAUUCAUAAAGAGAACUUAAAUUAAGAUUUAAAUAAAUAUUUAUUAAACUGUUUUCCAGAUUUACAAAAUCCAGCUGGGUAACUCAUUGAAAAUAAGUACUGUGUAAUCUGUUGUCUAGUAAAAAGGGUUUGAACAGGAUGUUUAGGCCACAUCUCAGCUCCAUCAUUCCUUCUGGUAUCCUGGCAUCACUGGGUAAGUUCACAGUUUAAGGAAGGAAUCUGAGGUGGUAGAACCAGGUGUGCUGGAGAGGCAGCCUAGGUCAGUGGCUAAGAGUGAAAUUCUGGCUUCACCACUUUCUAGCUCUUACAACCUUAGGAAGGUUAUGUAAUUUCAUAUUAUUAUUAUUAUUAAAGCCUUAUGAUAUAGUUAUUAUUAUUAUCUCCAUUUUAAAGAUGAGAAAACACAGAGCACAAAACCAUAAAGACUGUGUCUGGGAUGCAGUAAGUGUUAUGUAAGGGUGUUAAGCAAGUAAGCAUACAAAAUGCAGGACCAAAAGAAGCAACACCAGCCCCCAAACUACACCAUGUGAAUUUCCAAAGAACCAAGUGUUCACACUACAUCAAAACGAGCCUGUUGAAUCUUUUGGACUCUGAGAAAUAAAGCAUAGUUAUUAUCAAAUUAAGAUUUAAAUUCAAUUCCUCAGCUGCGUCUUGAUCACUGGAUACCACUUUAAUAAUCACAUUAUUAAAGAAAGUUCCAAGUUUGGGGUGGAAUACUGCAGAUGAGGAAAGUAGAAAUUACUGCUAUAUUAUGAUCUACACUUUGUCUUAAUAUGAUCUGGCCCAUAUAAAAAUGCUCCAGAACAGUUGCAAAAUAUGGAUAUUUUUCUUUGAAAACCAGCCUUUUGUCUUUAUAACUUACAAAGCCAUUUUUCCCAGUCCACAAAGCUAUUUGGUCACAAAUUUAAGAAACCAGUGAUUCCUGAGAUAUAUGUGCUUUCACACUUCAGGAAAUAAUUUCAAAAUGAUUUUGGCAGUCUACCCAUUUUUAUAAAGAUAAAAAACUAAAAUAUUAUUUUGUCUUAGAAAUAAGUAUUAAUAGAGACAUUAUUAUAUCUUUGCCCCUAGAGCUUUAGAAGCAAAGAUUUGUCUUUCUCUUCCUCUCUCUCUCACUCUUCCCUAUUUCCUCCUUCCUGGUGAGUCUUACUUCUGUAUACUAGAGUAAUUAUAUCUAUUUUUUUGAAUGCUUUUGUAUGUAUAUUAUAAAGUGUUUCCUUUCUUGUUCUCAAUUCAAAUGGAAUACUGAACUGUGCUCUCUGUAUACUAAGUUAACUGGGGCCUGUCGGGGGGGUGGGGGGAGGGGGGAGGGAUAGCAUUAGGAGGAAAACCUAAUGUAAAUGAUGAGUUAAUGGGUCCAGCAAACCAACAUGGCACAUGUAUACAUAUGUAACAAACCUGCACGUUGUGCACAUGUACCCUAGAACUUAAAGUAUAAUAAAAAAAAAAAUUUAAAAAAAAAUUUUGCCCAGCUCGUUUUUUUUCUUUAACUAGAAUACUAAAGAGAUACAAUGAUCUAUUUUAAACAAAGCUAUUUGUCUUAGUAUUUUUUAAAAUAGUACAAGGUGGAAAACAAGCUCAGGGUCUAUCCCUAUCAGAAUAGUCAAACAACCAGAGUUCAUGCAUACUCUAGUAUAAUCUGCAUCUGCUUAAAAAUUUGAAGUCACAUAUACUAAUUUUAAAAAGCCAAUUCCGACACAUUUUAAGAGGGAAACGAUGCAGAUUUUCCGCUCUAGCUCUGCUAUGGUUUGAUUCUUUGUCUCUUCCAAAACUCAUGUUGAAAUUUUAUCCCCAGUGUGGCAGUAUUGAGAGGUUAGGCCUUUAAGAGGUGAUUGGAUUGUGAGGGUUCUGACACGAAUAGAUUGAUCCAUUUGUGGAUUAAUGGGCUAUCACAGGAGUGGAAAGAGAGGAAGAGAGAUCUGAGCUAGCACACUUAGAAAGCUUGCCAUGUGAUACCCUGUGCCACCUUGGAACUCUAUAGAGAAUCCC
rnacentral:lncRNA from 10 species